UUGAUGCUCUAUCUAUGUGUGUGUGUGUGUGUGCGUGUGUGUGUGUGUUUACAUGCUUUUGUAAUGAUGCUGAGGUGUUAAUGUGGCCAUUGUGUGGAGCAGAGCUACAGUGCCUUGACCAUAUGGGGUGAUUUACGGCCAAUGUAAAUAUAACUCAAUACUCCUGGGCUUUCCUACGCACUACCCCUCCAUCCCUCCACCCCCCAUCAUCGGACCCCUCUCCUUAUUAGCCACUUUACUGAAAGCAAAUGCACAUUUUGUCAUUUUAAAUGGUUAAUCAACCCUCUCAUCUUCCUUUGUGCUGUUGCUUUACAGUGCAACAACAAAGACUGUGAUGGUAAUGUGACAGAGCAGCCUUGUAACAUGUAGAGCUCUCGCAGGAAGCUUUUCUUUGUUUUUGAUGAAGUUUACCUUGCAGUUACCUGUGCCCCAGAGGGAGGUCUACUUUCAGUGUCAGGUGCAGUUUUCUUAAACAUACACGAUGGUUUUUGCCAAGAAAAUCACUGUCUGUUUACUAGCUGACUGUCAACAUUGAUAUCAAUCGCAGCAAUGCAGCUCACAGAAUGAAAUAUUGCUCUUUUGAAAUUCAUCCAAAAGGCAAGUUUAGCCGGCUCUUAGAUAGUGAUUAAAUAUUUCUUCCAUCAGAGCAUCAAGACAUCCCAAAAAAAACAGCCUAGAAUAAAAAAUCCUCCAAAUCCUCUCUUCAAAAUUUGAUGCAAUAUCAGCAGUUCUUUCAAACAAUCCUUUCUCUUUAUUUACUAAUUCAGCUUGGGGAUAGGGAAUAGUGGAAAAAUGGCACUGCAUGCUCUUUUAUUCAGAUUAUAAGAAUCUCUAUUAAGCCCUCUUUAAGGUGGAGUAUGCAGUUUAGAUCCAAAGCACUCUUUUCUGUAUCAUGGGCCCGCUUAUUGUCUAUUCUGUGUGUGUGCUGCAAAAAAAGUCCUGUCUUCAAGCCCACUCAGUCCUGGCUCUGUAAGUGGGCCACAAACAAAGUGGCUCGGAGCGAGUCACAUACUUCUUGCCCACGGAUAUUCGGCUUAUUUUGUAGUUUGCCAAGAUGCUGUUACUGUGAUGUUCAACUUUUAUAGCAUGGUUUUAGACUGGUGUCGCCAUCUCACUGCAGCAACAGGAGCAACAGUUUGCAAACCCAGAAUCCAGCUGACAUUUUUCAGAUGAAGUGCCAUGUUUUUGUUUACUCAAAACAUACCAAAUUAAAAUUUAAAACUCAAAAUUCCCAUUUAAAAAGAAACUCACGCCCAAUCGUAUCAACAAUACACGCAAUGUCUGUCUCCAGAAUCAGCUAGUGAGCAAGCAUUAGCUUUGAAAUGUAUCUUACAUAUACACGUAUCUUCUCAUGCCUUCCGACACGACACAUUUUAGGGGUGUGACAAUGUAGCAAACGUACUCUUGUCAUGACUUACAAUAAUCAUACAAGUGGUGCCAAAUAUUGAUUUUCAAUAUGAAAUAAAAAUAGCUUCAACAGAUUUCAAUACUACACUAUAAUAUUACCUUCAUUAAAAGCCAAGCAUUGUAUUAUAGUGUAUCGUAUCAUGUUAAAAUAAUUAAUAUAAUUUCAUAUAUGAUGUACCAUCAUAUCCUAUCAUAAUGUAUUGUAGUAUUUUGUAAAUACGAUAAUGUGCCGUUUCAUAUUGAUCCUAUUCAUAAUACCCUGUCACAACAUUUCAUUUGGUAUAUAAUAUAUCUUUAAUGUAUCCUAGUGUGUCGUUUCAUAUUGAAAUGGUCUAGAUUAAUAGGUGAGAUAAAGCCCAUUUUACUAUAUCAGACUGAAUGGUACCAUAGCCUGUUGUGUGGUCUCUUCUCCUAUCUGGUCGUGGUUUAUCAUAUUGUAUCGUUUAGUAUUGUAUUAUAUCAUAUUGUAUCGUACCAAACCGUAACGUAUUGUAUCGUAUCAUUUUGUAUUGUAUCGUAUCAUAUUGUAUUGUAUCGUUUAGUAUUGUAUCGUAUCGUAUCAUAUCGUAUAGCGUUAUAGGAUUAAACACAACGCAAAUCCCACCUCUGGCAUAAAUUUUAAGUAAUGCAUUACAAUCUAAUGUUAUCCAAUCAAACAUACAUAAAGUAUAUAAUCUGGGCAAAAUGGAAAAAUAUAACUGCUGAACAAACAUCCCGCUAAGUAUAGUUUGGAUUAAAGGUAGUUCUUACUAUCUCAGCAUUAUUUCUCAAACGAGGACCCCUCUUAUAACCUGUGCUGCAGUAUAACUGGGAAUCAAAAUGGCAGUUAAAUCUAAACUGAACUCUGUGAGCUCUGCCAUGGAGGGUUCAGUGGUUAGGCUGAUGAAGAUGAAGAGGUGUUUUUCACUGAGCCUGAGGAGAUGCAGAUGUGGCCUGCCUGCUGACUCCUCGGCCCUAACAGUGCCCAACUGUCCACCAAUGUUUUCGUUUGACUUUUUUCCCAGUUUUUGCCCUCUGCAAGGACUUUCAGGUAUGCAUGCAAAAAUAUUACCUGUAAAGGAACCUCCACAUUAACUUGACCACAGUGGAACCCCAGAGAUGUCGACUGCAGUGGAUUUUUUUUCCGUGUCCUUUGGCUCUAAUUUUGCAGCCUUGUCUGUUGCCAAAUUGUCCUUAGAGCUGCUGCAAUUAGAUAGCUUGCCAGAAUCUGAAAGGCACCUUAUACUUAGAGUAAUAUAUACUUAUCAAGCUACAAUGCCAGACACAAUCAAUGCCCACCCAUGCAGUAUUAAAUCUCCAACUUAAACUGUGUGUGCAGUGUGUGAGUUAUUAGCGGCUGCACUUUCUCUUAUAUGAUGCAUAAAAUGUAGCUCCUCACUGCCACCUUGAAACUAUUCAUCCCUCUGUUGUUUGUUUUGGCUGUGUUGAGAAGCAGGAUUAGGCAGCUGCUGAAAACUUUGGGCGGGAUUUGCAGGUACAGAGUAAUUCUGUACAGAUGGUGCAAGAGCAAAAGCCGCUGUAAGCGCACUGUGAUACCACUUCCUGUUUGUGAUGGCAGCAGCAGCACAAGUAGAAGAUGAGAAAAACUGCAGAAGACAAGGAGAGACCCUGGCAAGAAACAAACUUUGUUGGUGACAUGAUGAAUCUGGAUUUGCCACCUUGCAUAGCUAAUCUUGCAUCACCCUAAAUCUCAUGACACGUUCCAAAUGAAGCCCCAGGCCAGAGCGGGUAUGAUGGUGCUCUACCUGUUGUAGUGCAAUCAGGUUGGGUGUAUGAGCUGAAUUCAGAUUUGCUUUGCAAUCCAGCAGCCAAUGAAUGAGCUGGCAGUGAAUUAGCUUCCAGGGCUUCAAAGCAGAUCAGCUUCUGUGUUUUGCAGUGGCAUGCCUUCGGGAAAACACAAGCUCUGGAUUUAAUUUGUCGUGUACAUUUCAUCUGAAAGUGAGCCAAUGUGACUCAUUAAAGAAGAAGUUAUACUUUCUUCCUCUCUGAAAUAAAAGUUAAAUUUGUCAGCAAUAAAUUAAACCCUCGCUCAAUUUAUCACAGGCAAGGCUUUUGUUGCUGCAUGCCUUAUAUAGAGCUGGCUUGACCACAGUAAGUGGCAAAUGUCCACACACUUAAAGAUGCUGCUGUUGAACACAGCUUUAUUGUAUGGAUGGGCUUUUAGAUUAAGAAAGUGAAGUUAUUUCAAAUGACUACUGCAAAAAAGCAAAAUGAAGCAUUUUGUUGCAUCAGCUCUUGAGACAACACUCUGGGAACCAAAGAGACUGAUCUCUGGGAUUUUCAAUGUUAAAUUUAGUCCCAUUUUUGCUUGAUACGAGAUUUCAGCUGCUCAAUAAUUUUAAGUCUUCUUUGUCAUUUUAUGAUGAACAAAAUGUUCCCAAAAACCUUUAUGGUUAAGUAUUAAUAGUGACCUUCUUAGAUGUGUAGGACACAGAUGCAAUUAUGCAUUCCUCGUCCACCACAAAUGCUUGCUUGUGAAUGAUGCUGUAAAGUUGAGCGGUCCUCCAACUUUUAAGAACCAAAGAUGUGCAUGAUUCCCCCCCAAAAAAAUGUCAGACUUUGAGUUUGCAGACUACAGCACAGGCAGAAAAUUGUAAAGGUGACUAUGCACCCAUGUGGUGACUUCCACUACAGAGUCAUGUCUGUUUUUAAUGGGCUGGAAGAUCACAACCAAAUAUCAUGAGUUUUUGACCUUUGACAUUUUUGUCAAAAGAUUUCUGAAGAAUUUAUUAAUCUUUUAAUGACAUUAUUAUGUGCAACAGUUUUUUUUUCAGGCACAUUAUUCUUAAACUGUGGAACUAGUUGCUCAUGUAGUCUCAUGUAGGCAGAAUGGUGAACCUCUUCCUAUCUUUACACCCUGAAGCCUCUCUUAAAUCCAUUUUUAGACUUAGUCAUGUUACCAACCUGUUGCAAAUGAACCUUAUCAGAUAGAGGAUGUUCUUCUAAGUGUUUUUUUUUAGCACUACACAGAGCUUUGUCAGUGUUUCAUUGUUCCUGUCUGGACUGUUUUAAAACAUGCUGCUCACAUCAAAUUAGCAUAUAUUUUUCACCAGACAAUGACAUUUUUUACUUUUUGUUUUUUAGAUUAUAAACAGGGUUUAAAUUGUCUGCAAAUCACAAACUUAUGCUCUUAUCAACAUUUUACACAGUGUCCCAUCUUCUUUUUUAAAUUCGGUCUCUCUCUCUCUCUCUCUCUCUCUCUCUCUCUCCCUCUCUCUUUCUCUCCUUCUUUUUGCAAUUACCUUCCCACAUGCAUCUGUUGUUAUUGUUGCAACAUGUCAUCAUGAUCCGGUCUGUCGUUGAAAUGCAUUCACUGCCUUGCCACCAAUGGACAGGAGGACAAAUGAUCAAUAUGCGGCACUAGUCGUGUUUGUUUUCCGUUCUGUUUAUAAGUCUAGAUAACCCAUCAGGUUAAUUUUGUUUGACUCUGGAGUUCUCCCUGCAGACAUUAUGCAAGUAUUUUCACAGGCGGAGUAGUACUUGCUGAGUUGCAUGAACCGACUUUGAUGUGUAAAAUAGAUGCAGUGUCCCCUCGAAUUAACAAUCUUUCAGUGGAGGCACCUGCACCUUCACUGCCUGACACUGUUUGCUUUUUAAAAUAACUUAAUUUGAAGCUAUAUGGCAGAUCUAAGAAGCCAUUGCCCUUCUGUAAACUAAUCUCCCGCUGAAACAAUGUCAGGUCAUGAUCAGGUCUGUAACCUGUAACUUUGACAGCACAGGUUCUACCUGCCGCUCAUUAUUAAGCUGAUCCUGCUAUGUUUCUACAGCUAGAGCCUCCUACACAGUUCGAGUCUUGUACAAAUAUCUCUUUAUUGCUCUUAUUUGUCACAAACUUUAAUGUUAAAGCCAUUCUACGUAUAUCAAAUAGAGUUUCAAGUCAGGUCUACUCUUUUCUUUCAAUCUGUUUAUCUCCUGGCUUCUCUCUGCAGCAGUAAUUGCAUCAAGCACCCUCUCGAUCAUGUGUGUGUCUUUGAGAGCCUCUUCAAUCAGUCUGUCACACAAAUAAGUGUCACACCUGACUCUACCUGACUUCUGCUGAGAGCACUGAAAAGUGCAGCUGCGGAACAUCUGACAGCAAAGAUUAAAACAACAUGAUGUUCGACGCUUUCAUGCAUCCUUUUUACAGUUCGCACUUAUCUGUGAUCACACUGCUCUGAUAUAGAUGUUACUCUGUGCAGCUGAAACCCCAGAUUUCCCCUAAGUUAUGUUCUCGGGAAAUGAGAUCACUUGGCUGAGGGUCCUGUUAACGCCCAUGCAUUUUUAGUUUUUUUGACCUUUCAUGCUGCAUUUUGACGUUUAGCUUUUGUGCAAAGUUUUGCAGGUCUUGAAAUCAACGAGAGAAGUUUGUGUAGACAGAGAUCUGGUAAAAAAAAAAAAACAUGUCAUGAGAUAUCAGUAAGUGCAGAAACAGGGCUGAUUUAGAACAGUGUGGUGUCAGGAAAUCCCCAAACAGUAUUGGCCAUGACCUCGAACACAAUAUCCCACUUGUGUUACUUCUGCUUGGUGAUUUUUUCCAACCUCAGUGAAAUUAGCAGAAAAUCCCCUCUGAAGCAAUGAGGAUCUAUCACACUCGACACCAUGUAUCUUCUCCUGCCUUAAAUGAGGUUCUUAUUCACCCUGCAGACUAAAUGACCCUUUUUUCCAAUGACCUUGAAUUUAAGUAGAAAACACAGUUAACCGACAUCCCCCUGCCCUUGUUGGCCUUUUUAUUCCUCCCCUGUCUUAUUCAAUUGUGUUCUGUCUUUUUUCUUUCCCUGGUCUUUAGCUGAGUCUUUCCCUAUCCUUCUCCUCUCUCUCUCUCUUUCUUUCCCUCUCUCCUCCUCAGAUCAUUUUCAUUGGCUUUGUUCUGUGCAGAUUAAGGUCGCACAUUGAUGAAGGCCCCCGGAGCCUCCGAGGUCUCGGGGCCCUCACAGUCUCAUUUGCAGAUAUCUCUCUGCAUUUGUUCUCUGCUCCUCUCAAUUUGCUUGCUAUUUCUGUCUCUGAAGUGUGUCUGGAUCACAUCCAACACACAGUUUUGGGAGAGGAAAUGAGACUGCAGACCUAGCAGCACUGCUUUAGUUCAAAGUGAAACCGAUACGCAACAUAUCAGGGUUUUCUUUUUUUAAUCUCCUCGUAUUUUUAAACCUGCAUCAACAAUAUUAAGCUCUCACUCUUUAAGUCACGGCAGACCACAUUACAACAGAUCAGUUUUUGGCUACGCUGAAUCAGCUAAGUGUUAAAACCAGUGCGUUUUUGGUCAGUGCAUGGUUUUAACCAAACGCAAAUUAUGGCCUGAGGCUCUUUGAGAAACAAUGUUCUCAGAGAUACACGUUGGCAGUCAUUGCAGAGAGCUGAAACCUGUUGAGAAACUGACACAGGAUGUGGGUAAGUUACUUUUGCCUGUGUGUGUGUGUGUGUGUGUGUGUGUGUGUGUGUGUGUGUGUGUGUGUGUGUGUGUGUGUGUGUGUGUGUGUGUGUCUUUGUUUUCCUGUGUAAAAAAAUACAGCAAAACAAACUUUUUGUGAACUUUUUCGCUGUUUGUAUAGUAUAUGCUGUUUUAUAAACAUCCAGGCAAGAGCUUUUGUGUAAAGCAGUCUAAGCGUUCAGUGUACUCGUGUGUUCAUGGUACUUAUAGUAUAAACCUGAUAUGGCUGUCAGAAAGUGAAAAAAUAAUCAUUUUCUUUCAAGCUUUCUUAUUCAUUUGACAGCAUCAAAGUUUUUAUGACUCAAAACAAGACAUAAUUUCAUUUAAAUCCUCUAGUAAUUUUGCACUGGAUUUAGACCGUAUAAUUAUUUUUACCAGAUAAUAUAAAGACUUGCAAAAGACCUAUUAGAACUGUUCCAAAUGAAUGCAACAGGCCCAGAGAUUAAAAUUAAGUCCCUGGUUUUGUCUCAUCUACACUCAGGGGCGUGUCCAGAGUGGUGGCAAGGGGUGGCAUGAGCCCCCCUUGCAAUGUAAUUGGCCCCCUGAAUCAUAAAUCAUAAUUAACUGUUUGCCUUGUGGGAAGGAAGACUGUUUGGACAGAGUUUUCUUUGUAUUUUGCUGUAGCAAAAAAAUGGUCAUUUUUGGUUCAAAUACUCAAAGGGAUAUUCCGGGGUAAAAUUAAGAUUUAUAUCACUCUUGCCUGUGUGUGUGAACACACUGUAAACGCACCAUAACACUGAGUUAGAUAUCCCCUUGAGAGAUGAAUGUUGCCGACUACUUGCUUCUCUAGUUAUAACAACUUCAGCAAAGACUGCACAAUAGCAAUACACAGCUGUCUACAAACCUCAACCAAAAAGCCACUCUAUAUCCACCAAUAAUGCUCAGAACAGCGGAUAACUUCAUCAACAGUACAUAUACGGUCCCAGCCAUAGUACUAGCCACCAAACGUCUUUUUAUCUUUGCCUAAUUUCUAUAGCAAAGAGACCAAACCCACUCUGUUCCAGCAGCUGCUUGUUUGUGGUGGAGCCCUGACGAGUUGAUCACCAAGUGCAGCUCGGGUGCAGUUCACAGCUCAAGGAAGAACUUUUGUGAUCAUUACUUCAUGGAAAUGCAAUCAGAGCUUUUGUAUAUCUUGUAUGUGCACUGCAGACGCAGUCGUUCUUCUGCCUUAGUGUCAACCAAAAUCUAAAUGCAUUUCCACAAAGCAGUGGCGGCUGCUGGUCUUUCAAGGAGGGGAAGCUCAUUUUUCUGGCCUACAUCAAAAUUGUGUUUGUUUAUUUGUAUGUAACAGAACAGAGUCGCCAAACACAACGGCAGUCGUUUUUAACAAAGACAAAAGUCGCUGAGGAUCAGUAAAGUCUCCGGAGCAAUUAAGAACAACGGAAUGAAUAACUUGGAAAAUGCUCUGGUAGAUGUUUUAUUCUUCAAGAUCGCUGAUUCCCUUGUUUAGCUGUCAAUCAAAAAAGGAUUUAGCCUCAGACAGCUCAUCCAAUCAUGGAUGCAGAAGCUCAGCGUCCGAGGGAAAGUUGGGACCGCCCUCUCGCCAUAGAACUCCAGAGACGCUGAGCGUCCGAUGGGGGGGACAAAGCCCAGCAUUUAUCCAAUGAGUGUCUAGUUUCGCUGCUGGAACAACCCACUUUGAGCUUCCACAUUGAAGUCAGCAGAAGCCCAGCGUCCGGCUGUUUAAAGCGCUGAGGCGCUGCGAGGAUGAAUGAGAACGAAGUUGCGCUGGUUACCUGUGAUUAUCAGCUUCUUAUCACACUGUGAUAAGAAGCUGAUUCUGAACAAAAGAUGAAGGCUUUCUAGCACGUAUUUAGUUAAUGAAAUGUACACACAGCAGUACGUAUUUCACCACUUUUUCUUUUUUUUGGGGGGUGACAUUUUAAGGGAAGCUGGGCUUCCCUUGCAGUCUUAGAGCAAUUACCACUGCCACGAAGUAAUAAUCAUAAAUUUUCUGCUGCACUCAGUGAUCGACUCGUUGCAUGGUAGGUAUGGAUCUAUAGAUCCUGCAUUUCCUAUCUUUAUCAAAACCCUUAGCUGCCACCAUCAGUGUCUCUCUUGCAUUAGUUUUGAUGAAGUCUCCUGAGACAAACAUCUUUUUCUCUUCAGCACUGUCAUCGUCACUGUCAGCACUGCAUUGUGUUGCAUUAUAUGUGGUACUUGUUGCUUCAUACCAAGUGUUUGCAGAGUAAGAUUUUGCCAGGGAGCUACCGGGUUACCCUGGUCCUGGAGAAACUUUUUUUUGUUUCUGUUUCUGUAGUUUGGCAUCCAAACUUUUGAACCGAUCAACCAUCAAGCUGUUGUGACUUUGACUCUAUGUGACCUAAGGCCUUGAAUACCACCAGUCUUAUUGUUAUUCAUGUAUUUCUAUUUUCGAUUUACAUUUAUUAGAUAGGACAGCAGAAGAAAGACCAGAAGUGGGGUCUAGAGAGUGGGGGAAGACUACAGCAAAAGAUAAUGACAGGGAGUUGUACCAGCAACUGCAGUGACAAGAACUAUAGCUGCUAUAAGCUGAGCGCUUAGACCGUGAAGCCAUCUAC